rnacentral:misc_RNA from 1 species
GUGAGGAAGGAGAAAUUGGGUGAUAGAAUCACAGCUCUUCACCAGCUAGUUUCCCCAUUUGGAAAGACUGACACAGCUUCCGUCUUGUUAGAAGCUAUUGGAUAUAUCAGAUUCCUUCAGGGUCAAAUUGAGGCUUGGGCUCUUCAUCGUCAAACAUGAGGAACCAACAGUCUGUUCAAGGAGAAAGAAAUUCCGUGUUUCCUGAAGACCCCGGUC